AAAAAAUUAUGAUAUUCUAAAUAAUUCUCUAUCACUUUAAUAGGUUAUUCAGAUAUUGAUUUUACUAGAUGCAAUUAGAUCGAAAGAGUACAAGUGGAACUUAUCAAUUUUUAUAUAUAAAUUUGAUCUCAUGGUUUAGUAAGAAAUAAAAUUUGGUGGCAUUAUCAAUGGUGAAAGCCAAAUACAUUACAAUGAAAGUCAUGUUACUCAAUCUUAUGAUCA
rnacentral:lncRNA from 1 species